ensembl:piRNA 21ur-11852 ncRNA
UUUUGAAAGUAUUUAGAAACU